AUGGAGACGAUGCGCCGGGAAGACAAGCGCGAAGAGCGGCGUUAUUCUACGCCAGCAACAUCGUGCGCAGUUCCUCGCACCGCUCUGCUGCUCCCACCGCCUCCGUCAACAACUCCACCCAAGCAGGCGGUCGUGCCAGAAGCGCGUAGCUCGGAUCAUCGGGCUGUGGAGGCGGCACACGGGCCGCCAGCUGUGGACAAGAUGGCAGUGUUGCGAGCAUAUUGGCGCGCUCGUGGUCUAUGUUUCACCUGCGGAGAACGUUGGGGGCGCGACCACUGCUGCGGGCGAACAGUGCAGUUGCACGUGGUCGAAGAACUGCUCGACCUGAUGUGCCAAGACUCCUCGUCCGUCGGCGAGGCAACCCCAAGCGAAGCUGUACCGAGCGAGCAGGAGGCCGACUGCUGCAUCAUUUCCAAGGAAGCAUUAGAAGGCGCCGAGUCACCUACCACUAUGCGCCUCCACGGCUGGGUGCAAGACCGUGAGGUGCUCAUGCUUGUGGAUUCCGGCUCAUCGCAUAGUUUUGUCUGUGAAGCACUGGCAGAGCAUUUGCAAGGUGUCCAAGCAGCUAAGAAUCCUUUGUCGGUCCGGGUGGCAAAUGGAGGCGUGAUGCGUUGCAGCCAAGAGUUAUCGGUGUGCCAAUGGCGCACUCAUGGGGUCACCUUCCGCACCGACCUUAAGGUGCUUCCCUUAGGCUGUUAUGACAGCAUCCUCGACAUCGACUGGUUAGCACAGCACAACCCGAUGCAAGUUCACUGGAGGGAGAAGACCAUGAGUUUUGAGUAUGGCAACCGGCGAGUCCAAUUGAAGGGUGCUCGAGCUGAUACCACCGAAUGCCAGCAACUGUCGGGGGCUGAGCUUGACGCACUUCUACAGCGCGCCGGAGUGGCCCGAGUGGUCCAUCUCUCUACCACGACAGGCGAAGGAGUUCAGGCCACUGAGCUGCCAGUUCCGACCGAGCUCGCAGAGCUCUUGCGUGAGUACGAUCGUCUCUUCGCCGAGCCGCGGGGCUUGCCCCCGCAACGCGCCUUCGACCACGCCAUACCAUUGCUACCUGGAGCUCGGCCAGUCAAUGUCCGCCCAUACCGCUACAGUCCAGCUCAAAAGGACGAGAUCGAGAAGCAAGUCACAGACAUGUUGGCGCAAGGAAUCAUUGUGCCCAGCACCAGCCCCUUUGCCUCACCGGUGCUGCUGGUCCAGAAGAAGGACCUCACUUGGCGAUUCUGCGUGGAUUAUCAACACUUGAACGCGGUGACAGUUAAGAACCGCUACCCACUGCCAGUCAUUGAGGAAUUAUUGGAUGAGCUAGCCGGUGCCAAGUUCUUUACCAUUUUAGACUUGCGUGCUGGGUACCACCAAAUCCGUAUGAGGCCAGAGGAUGAACACAAGACGGCGUUCAAGACCCACCAUGGCCACUUUGAGUUCCGUGUUUUGGCUAAUGGUCUCACCGGCGGACCUUCCACUUUCCAAGGGGGGAUGAACAUAGUGUUGGCACCUCUGAACCGUCACGGAGUACUGGUAUUUAUAGAUGACAUUUUGGUGUACAACUCUACUCUGGAGCGACACUGUGAGCUGCUGCGACAGGUGUUCCGGUUGCUCCAUGAACACCAACUGAAAAUCAAGCUAAGCAAGUGCUCAUUUGCAAAACCCAGCCUAACAUACCUCGGGCAUGAGAUCAGUGGAGAAGGCGUUCGGACGGACAUCAAGAAUGUGGAUGCGGUGCAGAAAUGGCCCAUACCAGCAAAUGUCAAGGAAGUGCGCGGAUUCUUGGGAUUGGCCGACUACUACCAAAAGUUUGUCAAGAAUUUUGGCAUCAUCAGCCGGCCGUUGACCGAUUUGCUCAAGAAGAACACAGUAUUUUGCUGGACGGAUCUCGAGGCAGCAGCUUUCCAAGAGCUGAAGACUGCACUGGUCACGGUGCCCGUACUUGCCUUGCCUGAUUUCAAGGUGCAAUUCGAGCUAGAAACGGACGCUUCUGACAAGGGUAUUGGGCAGUGCUACGGCAAGGCAAGCACCCGGUGGCUUUCCUCAGCAAAUCCCUUAGACCUCGCAAUCAAGCUCUGUCCACCUAUGAGAAAGAAGGAUUGGCUAUUCCUAUUCUAG
rnacentral:rRNA from 1 species